CCGCCCGGCUUUUGCACAACAACCCGGCCAGUUCAUUUCUACUUCGUUAUUUACAUUCCUUCAGUAGAGGCGGAGUUGAAAUUGGUCGGCCUUCCGCGACGUGUGUCGGACUACAGACCCCAUCGUCCCGGUGGCCGAGGCGUUGAGGUAAAGAAGAGGAAGGAGCCCAGCGUCCGGCGGUGGAGGCACUGGCGUCCGGCGUGUCUCUGACGGGCUCGCGCUUCCCCCUUGCGCCAUAUUUCCUGCCUUGCAGGAAGGGAGGCCCAGGGCCGGCGCAGCCGGGGCCCCUCGGAUCGCGGCCUUCCGGGCAGAGCGGGGUGAUGCUCCUGCAGGAUUUUUCCCGAAGCCUCGGGGGGAGCGUUCUUUGAAUACGAUUUCUACACCCUGU